UACGGGGGGAGCAAGCGUUGUUCGGAUUUACUGGGCGUAAAGGGCGCGUAGGCGGCGCAACAAGUCACUUGUGAAAUCUCCGGGCUUAACCCGGAGCGGUCAAGUGAUACUGUCGUGCUAGAGUGCGGAAGGGGCUGACUGGAAUUCUCGGUGUAGCGGUGAAAUGCGUAGAUAUCGAGAGGGAACACCUGCGGCGAAGGCGGGUUGCUGGGCU
rnacentral:rRNA from 1 species